GGGUGCGAUAAUUACGACACUAAAACAACGGAUCCCAAUAGAACUCCGCAGUUAAGCGAGUUUGGACGACAGUACUACUAGGAUGGGUUACCUCCUGGGAAGUCCUCGUGUUGCACCCC
rfam:Beta vulgaris subsp. vulgaris 0734.scaffold01326.con0002.1, whole genome shotgun sequence.